rnacentral:rRNA from 1 species
UACGUAGGGCGCAAGCGUUGUCCGGAAUUAUUGGGCGUAAAGAGCUCGUAGGCGGCCUGUUGCGUCCGCUGUGAAAUCCCGGGGCUUAACCCCGGGCUUGCAGUGGAUACGGGCAGGCUGGAGGCAGGCAGGGGAGAACGGAAUUCCCGGUGUAGCGGUGAAAUGCGCAGAUAUCGGGAGGAACACCGGUGGCGAAGGCGGCUCACUGGCUCAUUACUGACGCUCAGGCGCGAUAGCGUGGGGAUCAAACAGG